rnacentral:rRNA from 1 species
UACGUAGGGAGCGAGCGUUGUCCGGAUUUAUUGGGCGUAAAGAGCGUGUAGGCGGCCUGAAAGGUCAGCUGAUGAAACUCGAGGCUCAACCUCGAGACGUCGGUUGAAACCAUCUGGCUAGAGUCCGGAAGAGGAGUGUGGAAUUCCCGGUGUAGCGGUGAAAUGCGCAGAUAUCGGGAAGAACACCAGUGGCGAAGGCGGCUACCUGGACAGAUGCUGACGCUGAGGCGCGAGAGCGGUGGGGA